GUGCCAGCCGCCGCGGUAAUACCGGCAGCCCGAGUGAUGACCGAUCUUAUUGGGCCUAAAGCGUCCGUAGCUGGCUACGCAAGUCCGUCGGGAAAUCCACUCGCCCAACGAGUGGGCGUCCGACGGAAACUGCUCGGCUUGGGACCGGAGGACCCGAGGGGUACGUCCGGGGUAGGAGUGAAAUCCUGUAAUCCCGGACGGACCGCCGGUGGCGAAAGCGCCUCGGGAGGACGGAUCCGACGGUGAGGGACGAAAGCCAGGGUCUCGAACCGGAUUAGAUACCCCGGUAGUCC
rnacentral:rRNA from 1 species